ensembl:miRNA microRNA 216a
GAUGGCUAUGAAUUGGUUUAAUCUCAGCUGGCAACUGUGCGAUAUUCAUACAAUCCCCCACAGUGGUCUCUGGGAUUAUGCCAAACAAAGCAAUUACCUUGUCC